rnacentral:rRNA from 1 species
UACGUAGGGUCCGAGCGUUGUCCGGAAUUACUGGGCGUAAAGAGCUCGUAGGUGGUUUGUCGCGUUGUUCGUGAAAACUCACAGCUCAACUGUGGGCGUGCGGGCGAUACGGGCAGACUUGAGUACUGCAGGGGAGACUGGAAUUCCUGGUGUAGCGGUGGAAAUGCGCAGAUAUCAGGGAGGAACACCGGUGGGCGAAAGGCGGAUCUCUGGGGCCCUUACCUGACGCUGAGGCGCGAAAAGCUAGGGGGAGCGAACAGG